rnacentral:lncRNA from 1 species
CCAGGGAAUUUGUCAGGCACGUCUUUGAGGGCUCCCAAUUUAGAGCCCUGGGCCAUACACCAGGCUGUGCACCUGCCCUCCUUCCCUCCAUGCCCUCCCAGAUUCGCCUCAAACACAGGGAGUGACUUCACCUCGGGCUACAUCUGCUUCCAAACUGCUCAGCACGGUUCUCACCCAAACCCACCAUUUGAUUCAGAAAUUACAUGCAGGACUAAUUGUUGCUUGAGGCUACUUGUGAAAUGGGGAUAGUUUGUAACAAAAAAAAAAAACCCAGCACAAGGCUUCAAGGUAUGAAAUAAAUUGUUCCAGGAGGAGACAACACACACACACACAACCACAAACAUAUCAUUUGAGCACAGUACUACACCUUCCACCCAGAAAAGCAAAGGCCUCCUAUUAUUAAAAGGACAAUGAAGGUACAUCUUCUUAUUUUAUUUUUUUAACCCAGUAAUAAAAUGGAAGCAGAAAGAUGAAGCAGAGACGUUCCAGAUGUUCCAGGUGCUGGGAACAGGGCUGGUUGUGCCCUGAGAAAUCACAGCAAGCUCUCCUCUCUCUGGAUGUCAGCUUCCGCUUGUUUCGAAGGAGGAGAGAGGUUACCUGCAGACUCCUCCCGUGGAGACCUCUCGGAUGCCUCCAUUUGGGAGAAAACUGAAUAUGUCAAAGGGCACCAGAUCUGGGAACCAAAGGGGAGGUGAGAACACUUGGGACCUCUUUAUUUUUG